rnacentral:rRNA from 1 species
AACGAACGCUGGCGGUAUGCCUAACACAUGCAAGUCGCACGAGAAAGUACUUCGGUAUGAGUAGAGUGGCGCACGGGUGAGUAACACGUAGGUGACCUUCCGAAUAGUGGGGGAUAACUCGGAGAAAUCCGGGCUAAUACCGCAUAUGUACGACAAAUCUGAGAGUAGUCGUAGAAAGAAUGCCUCUACUUGUAAGCAUUCGCUAAUCGAUGGGCCUGCGGAGCAUUAGCUAGUUGGUGGGGUAAUGGCCUACCAAGGCUACGAUGCUUAACGGAUCUGAGAGGAUGAUCCGUCACACUGGAACUGAGACACGGUCCAGACUCCUACGGGAGGCAGCAGUGGGGAAUAUUGCGCAAUGGACGCAAGUCUGACGCAGCAAUACCGCGUGAGUGAGGAAGGCCUCGGUU